GUAGGUGGCAAGCGUUGUCCGGAAUUAUUGGGCGUAAAGCGCGCGCAGGCGGUUCUUUAAGUCUGAUGUGAAAGCCCACGGCUCAACCGUGGAGGGUCAUUGGAAACUGGAGAACUUGAGUACAGAAGAGGAAAGCGGAAUUCCACGUGUAGCGGUGAAAUGCGUAGAGAUGUGGAGGAACACCAGUGGCGAAGGCGGCUUUUUGGUCUGUAACUGACGCUGAGGCGCGAAAGCGUGGGGAGCAAACAGGGAUUAGAUACCCUGGUAGUCCACGCCGUAAACGAUGAGUGCUAAGUGUUAGGGGGUUUCCCGCCCCUUAGUGCUGCAGCUAACGCAUUAAGCACUCCGCCUGGGGAGUACGGCCGCAAGGCUG
rnacentral:rRNA from 1 species